GGUAUAGCUCAGUGAUAGAGCACUUGCCUGUCAUGUGGGAGGCCCUGGGUUCCAUCCCCAGAACCG
rnacentral:tRNA from 1 species